CGGCGAUUACAUGUGACGUCAGACAAGCGGACCACAUCGCGAACGUAAAACGCCAAGCAGUGUGCUGGUGCCAUAGUGGGUGAAGUUACCCCACAAGCGUGUCAUGGCUGCUCCUCGUUGCCAGCGCUGGGCGUCCGAUUGCGGAUUUGACUCCUGAGCUGCUCGAUGAGUUCUGGAUUCUGUUGCUGCAUCUGCUGAGCGAACUGUUGACCUCUGACCGGACACAAAGGCCAACAUGCAGUCAAUGACCGAGAGGUAGGUAUUCUUUGCAUCAUGAGGCGGUCAUGCAUGAAUUGUCAUUUUGCUCCAGAAGAUACUUUGCUGAGCUCAUUUAUGACACCUUUGAUGACCAUUAAGAGGCUUGCGGCUCACUCCCACUGAUUCUGGUCCAAAACAUGACUGAGCCACUUCCUUGCUGACAUCACAGCUUUGUUGAGAUCUGCUGGCCAUACUCAACUUCAUCGAUCCAGGCCACUAAAGGUUGCAUGGCGCUCAUCAGUAAACAGGAUUGUUUGACAAUUACGUUUUUGUGAAUUAUUGAAUGUUUUCAUGACUUG